ensembl:lncRNA
GGGUUUUACAGAAAGUGGGUGACAAGAGUGGGAAUGUUCAGUAAUUAUGUUUAUUGUCCGAUUUCUAGCCAAAGAUUUAUGCAGAGGCCUUGAUGGACUGAAGGUGGAAGCUGAGGACCCUUACUGUGGACACUACAAUGUGUUUCAGUUUACCUCUGCAGUGGGUGGACACAGACCCAAUCCAGAUGCCACAUCUCUUGCACUUGAGAUUAUGGGAGAUGAUGGACCCUAGGAACUUAGUCUAAUUUAGCUGUAAACACUGACCCAUCAAUCUGAAGAGGAGGAGUUGGUGAUGUCAAUAUCCACCUCCACUAUUUUGUCUGUGUUUAAUUCCAAGUUAUGUUGG